GAGUUUGAUCAUGGCUCAGGACGAACGCUGGCGGCGUGCCUAAUACAUGCAAGUCGGGCGGGGUUUUGGGGAGCUUGCUCCUUAAAACCCAGCGGCGGACGGGUGAGUAACACGUGGGCAACCUGCCCGCAAGACCGGGAUAACUCCGGGAAACCGGGGCUAAUACCGGAUAGGACCCCGGAUCGCAUGAUCCGGGGUGGAAAGGUGGCCUUCGGCUGCCGCUUGCGGAUGGGCCCGCGGCGCAUUAGCUAGUUGGUGAGGUAACGGCUCACCAAGGUGACGAUGCGUAGCCGACCUGAGAGGGUGACCGGCCACACUGGGACUGAGACACGGCCCAGACUCCUGCGGGAGGCAGCAGUAGGGAAUUUUCCGCAAUGGACGAAAGUCUGACGGAGCAACGCCGCGUGAGUGAGGACGGUCUUCGGAUUGUAAAACCCUGUUCUUUCGGAAGAGCGUCACGGAGCUGAAUAGGUUCUGUGACCCGACGGUACGAAAGGAGAAAGCCCCGGCUAACUACGUGCCAGCAGCCGCG
rnacentral:rRNA from 1 species